UACGUAGGGUGCGAGCGUUAAUCGGAAUUACUGGGCGUAAAGAGUGCGUAGGCGGAAAUGUAAGUUAGAUGUGAAAUCCCCGAGCUUAACUUGGGCAUUGCAUUUAAGACUGCAUAUCUAGAGUUUGUCAGAGGGGGGUAGAAUUCCAAGUGUAGCAGUGAAAUGCGUAGAGAUUUGGAGGAAUACCGAUGGCGAAGGCAGCCCCCUGGGAUAGAACUGACGCUGAGGCACGAAAGCGUGGGUAGCAAACAGG
rnacentral:rRNA from 1 species